UACGGAGGGGGCUAGCGUUGUUCGGAAUCACUGGGCGUAAAGGGUGCGUAGGCGGGUCUUUAAGUCAGGGGUGAAAUCCUGGAGCUCAACUCCAGAACUGCCUUUGAUACUGAGGAUCUUGAGUUCGGGAGAGGUGAGUGGAACUGCGAGUGUAGAGGUGAAAUUCGUAGAUAUUCGCAAGAACACCAGUGGCGAAGGCGGCUCACUGGCCCGAUACUGACGCUGAGGAGCGAAAGCCAGGGGAGCAACGGG
rnacentral:rRNA from 1 species